AGCGCAUCAUAGGUAGUUCCCGGUUGCCAAGGGAACGGCUACCUUUCAGCCAAUCGGAACACAACACGUCCCUACGUCAUUGCUCUUUGACGUGAACAUCCCUACGUCAUUGCUCUUUGAUGCGAACAUCCCUACGUCAUUGCUCUUUGACGUGAACAUCCCUACGUCAUUGCUCUUUGAUGUGAACAUUCCUCAUAACUCCUCUGGAGUCCUUGACAGCUGCACGCAUUUUGCUCCUGGUCCUGCCUCAGUUCAUAAUCUUUUGAACACUGACAAUAGAACGAUUUAAAGUAUUUUAUCCAACAUUUAAAUCAAACAGGAGAAAUGGCUCAAGGACAUACAACAAAUCUGCCGGUUUCAGACCAGGGACAAGCAGAGUCAGCGGAACAGUACAACGCAGAAUAUAUGAACCUGAGGGAGAUCUCCGAAGUUCUCAAGUCUAUGCGCAUCAAAAUUUGCAUGAGCGGAAUAAAGGUCGCAGGAUGGGAAUCUUUGGUGGUUAAAAACGACAAGUAUGAGCAACACAGGCAGGAGGAAGGCAUGGCUAGGAGAAAAUGUGAAACCCUUCAAAAAGAGGUCAAGAGUGUCAUUGAUAAGGUCAAAAAUCAUCAACAUUUUCACUCAAUGUACAAAGAAAAAAAAGCCUCAAUCCAAGAACUGUCGUCCAAACAUGAAAAGCUGCAAGAACAACUGGAAAAGCAGCAGAAAAAGUUGGAGCACUUAAAACGCGAGGAGGCAAACGCUGCGUCCCUAACACAGGAACACGAUGAGUACGAGAGAAAAGUUAAGCUCCUGGAGACCGAACUGCAAAAGGUAACCAAUGAAUUUAACCUUUUUUCAGAGGCCAGUAAACGAGACGCCCAUCAUCUUAAUGAGAAGAAGAAGUCUAUGGAACGUACGGUGGAAUUCCUGACCGCCCAAAAAGAUUCCAUUGAGUCGGAUUACAAACAUCUGGAAUGUAAGAAUAAGGUGCUGAUUGCAAAGACACAGGGGUUAGAAAUACAGCUUUUCGAUCUGCAGGAUGAAGAGAGCGAAAUGAAACUGAAAGUUGAAAACCAACGGCGUGAAAAUCAGGACGCAAAACAACGUAAGGACGCUUUGGAGGGAACAAAUAAUGAUUUAAAACUGAAAAUCCAGGCCCUCAAUGAAGAGCUCACGUCCAGAGAGUCUUUGGCAGCGCAACUGAAAGUCCAGCAGACUGUUCUGGAGGCACAGCAGCAACAGUUGAUUAAGGCCCACACGGAGGCCACCAGCAAGCUACUGAGCCAAAAAGAAUGGAAGUCUGGCUACGACACACAGAGGGAACUAAAGGACGCCUUGGAGCUGAAGAACAAUGAAUGGAAAGAGAAUAUCCUCAGUCUAACGAACAGUCUCCAAGAUCUGGACGCCUACAAAUCCAACUACAAAUCGAUGAAGACAGAUAUAAAAGUUGCAACCAGACUGAAUAACAAUCUCAAAAAGCAACACAAGGCCCUGGAAAACAAGUUCUCAAAAGAGCAGGAGUAUGAGGAAAAAAACAACGCAAUAAAGUCAGAGAACAUAACCCUGUUGGGUGAAAACUGCACUCUUCAGCGUCAGAUUGAGGAACUGCGGAGCACCCUUCAGGGAACGCAAGCUUUGACUCGUACCUACAACUCCCUGGUGUUGGAUCGAGACGCCAACAAGCGACAGAACAACGGCCUUCUGAGAGAACUUAAGCAGCUCCAUAAAAAGGCCGCUAAAGAAGCGGCUCUGAAGGAGCGCAACGAGGCGACGCGGGCAGAGAACGAGAACGACCGCAGACAAUUGUACUUUCUCCAGGAAAAAGUACGCUCCAAGUCGCAUGUAGAAAGGGAGCCCCAGCAAGCGCAUUGUUCGUGGUUUGAACCCCAGCCGCUCAAUGUCCUGCAACCUACCCAACUGCUCCCUUAGGCCUCCCAUUAAUUAUGGGUAUUUAGGCAUCCAUUGAAGCAUCGUGACUAGCGGGGCUUUCAAAAAAUACCCUGACCUUAACCCUAGUCAGACACAUUACACAAACACAUCACACAAACACACACAUACACAUACAUGUACACAUAAACAAACACACAAUUACUUAGACAUAAACCAUAACAAACACAUAUACAUAAACAAACACACAUACAUAAACAAACAGACAAUUACUUAGACAUAAACCAUAAUAUACGCUAUGGUUUAUGUCUAAGUAAUUGUCUGUUUGUUUAUGUAUGUGUGUUUAUGUACAUUCAAUCAUACAUAAACAAUAACACACACAAACACACAAUUACUUCGACAUACACCAUAAUACAUAUACAUAAACAAUCACACAUACAUUCAAUUAUACAUAAACAAUAACACACACACAUUCAAUUAAACAUAAACAAUAACACACUCACAUAAACAAACACACAUACAUAAACAAACAGACAAUUACUUAGACAUAAACCAUAAUAAACGUUAUGGUUUAUGUCUAAGUAAUUGUCUGUUUGUUUAUGUAUGUGUGUUUAUGUACAUUCAAUCAUACAUAAACAAUAACACACACAUAAACAAACACACUUGCAUUCAAUUAUACAUAAACAAUAACACGCACAUAAACAAACACACAUACAUAAACAAACAGACAAUUACUUGCCACAGAUGGUCUGUAUGGCAAUGCGCUUUUUGCAAGCGGCAUGUUUUUAUAUGCCGUGGGAGAUGCCGAAACUGUAGUUAAAGGCACUGUGGUGGCAGGGUGUGGUUAGCUCAGCUGCAGAGGGGAGAGCGGGGGUGUGGUUCAGGGAACGGUGAUGGCAGGUAGUUAACAAGCACAGCUGAACAACAUCCUGAUUGAUGGUCUCCCCUGUAAAAGCAGUGAGCAGGACUUGAGAAGAGAGAGACUGGAGCAAACGCUCAGGCGUAAGGCCGAGGAGCAGAGCAACAAAGCCACAAAACCUGCUUACUGCAAACGAAAAAUCAAGUAUAUUGCCAAGUAGACCCGUGUGUCCGUGCGUCCUUCGACAAACCCGACGGUAGUAGCUCCAUCAAGGCUUCAUAGGCGCCUGACCAGGGACGAUCGGGAACAUGGAUGGGCAGCACGGUGAGGGAACGGCGCACCCACGUAUUGGAGCAACUGGCAGACCGGCACCGGGUUCCUCGGCGUGCGCAGGAAUGGUGGUCCAUAAGAUGACGGCCACGGACGAGGUCCAGUCGUACCUCAAAAUGUUUGGGUCGAUGGCUGGGGCGUGUGACUGGCCGGAGGACGAGUGGGCGGUCUACCUAUUGCUACUCCUGACCGGGAGACGCUGACGGCGGCCCUGGGUCUGCCACCCGGGCCAGGCACGUUCAUGCCGAUGAGGAUGAAGGAGGGGAGGGCGAUCGUGGACCGGAUAGGGCUGUCGCCCGAAAACCACCUGAGGGCCUUCCGAGAAGCUGGGCUCGGCCCAGGGGACCGGUUGUUUGCAUUCGCCCCGCGGGUGAAGGAUGCAGCAAACAAGUGGCUGGAGCCGGGGGGCGUGGGUAGAGCGUCGGCGGUGGUGGAGAAGGUAGUGGUGGAGCAGCUCCUGGAGGGUCUGCCAUCCCGGACGUCGGCGUGGGUCCGAUACCACCCAUACCGACACUGGAGGUCGCCAUCACCCUGGCCGUGGACCACCUGGCAGUUCAUCCCAGCUGGCAGGGGGGAAACCGAUCAACCGCCAGUAGUAGCACGACCAGUCCCAGCUCCGCGAACGAGGCCCCCACAGCAGACCGUGGCUCAGGCCGUACUGGCCCGCGGCCACUGGCCCUCCCCUGGUUUCCCGAUCCCUCAGGCCCGGCCGGACCCGGCCUUCUUCUGAGAAGAAGAGAGAGUGUCCUACCACCCUUCUGUGCACAACCAAAGUCAAGUCAAAUGGACUCCAGGCACACUGUGACGUCCGAUGUAAGGGUUUUCUUGGUGGUGGAUGGAUGAAGAUGAUGAAGAUGUGGUGGCAGACCGGACAGUACUUCUGGUUCCAGUGAUGGAGCUAUCCAAAAAAAACAGCCUAUGCACACGUGCAGGACAACAAUUCAAUACCAAUCCAACUAGGCCUGCAAGCCGCAUGGCUAAAACAUCACACACAAUAUAACAAGUUAUCAGCUCAGGGCAUUCAAUUAUAUCCAUUACACAAUCAUAAAUGUACCUUUUGUACCGCUUUCUAAUUCUAAAAUAGACAACUUUACAAAACAUCGUCGAGAAUUCUUGCUAACACAGCUAACGGUAAACACACCGAACUUCAGUCAAAUCAUCAGGAGAUCAAAUGUUCAAAGGUUUCACUAUCUUCCCCGAAACUCCAGACGUUGAAUGGCUAAUGCUUCAAUAUUCAAAUUAAAGUUUUUCAUUUUUCAAUUUCUGCUUAAGUUUCUGCAUAAGUUUGCUUAAGUAAGUUUCUUACUUCAUUAAAACAGUCGGCGGAGAAAACAAAGAUCGUCUAUAAAGAGACAGAUGAUCACUUAGAUAAAUCUCCGUGCAUGGAAUGACAAAGAUUGACCAUAAAGGAAAAGAUGAACUGUUUUCCUGGUUAAACAGGGAAAAUGUUACAACUUAUUUAAUUUACAUAUGAACAGUAACGCAUUUUUAAACCCUGGUUAUAUUUGCAUGAAGUCCUUUCGUUGCUGCUGCGUUUGCCUGAUAAUAACUGAUGGCAUAGAGAUGUAAAUUGUGGUGAUUAUUAUUUCUUGGCCUUCAUUUUGUAUGUUUGGAUCCUGGGUGAAUAUAAAUAUGUUUUACGAUGCAUUUUGACAAUCUCGAGAGAGCUACAUUUUAAAGAAUAAUUUCCAAAGUCAUGCAGGGUUCAGUGACACAUAAAGUCCAUAUUCGAGAUCAUGGGUUUCUCUGAAAAUUAAAGGGUAAUUGCGUAUUGGACAAAAGGUUGUGUUGCAAUUUUUAACAAAAUGUAACAAAAUCAUUCAUGCAUCCCAUCAUUGUCAGUUGUGUCCUUAAUUAUCGAUAGCAAACAUGGUAAACGUAAUCAACUGUCAACUAUGUUAUAACACAGUAAUAAAUAGUUGUAUGCACCUUACAUUCCUCUUAAAUUCCAAAAAAUAAGUAAUAGUAAUAAGUAAUAAGAGCUUUAAUUACUGCAACAAAAGGUUUUCUCUCCUUGAUAAGCUCAACCAAUGGGGAGCACCGUGUGCUGGCCUUCAGAUCUUAAAAGGAUUUUUUGUUGCUCGUCCAAUGUGAUAAAGAUCAUUUUAGGACCAGCUUUGUGUGCAGAGGUUGUGGCACCUUUGACUGAACAGAUACGUCUAUACUAAAAUCAAGAGGUGAUUAGAGGCUGUCACCCCCCCGGUGAGAUCAAGUUGGGGUUUUCUCGUCGUUGCCUUGUCUUGUCAUUUCCUGUUUUAUUUUGAAAGAUUAACCCCUCUUGUUUCAGGUCCCUUGCCCCUCAUGUGUCACCAGUCGUAUCGUCUCCCUUGAUAUCUGAUUGUGUCCACCUGUUUCCCAUUACCCUCACGUGUCUUAUAGUCUGUGUCUCCCUUUCCCUGGUGCAGGAGUGUACCGACCAUUCUGCAACCUGAGCCUGUCGCCUUUAACUUGGUGUCCUUCUGCCUGCCUGGUUCGGUCUUGCUUUUCCCUGUUCCCGUUCUAUAAGAAAUCCAGUUUCUGUUCAUGGACUCAGUUCCUCCAACCUGUUUAUACCGCUUGUGUUUUCCUCCUAAUGGAGUGAUUUUGAGUUUUGUGAUUUUUUUAACCAAAUAAAGACUGCCUUUUUCUGUUCAUUCUGCCCAUGAGUCCUCUCUUUAAACGUGGGCCUGACAGAACUCUCCUGCCAGUAUGGACUCAGCAGAGGCAGAUUAGAUGGCCGCAGCCCUGGAAAACCAAGACACCCGCCUCACCUGCCAGGAGGAAUUCCAGACAUCCCUGGCUUCCCACAUCAGCCAACUUACCUCACAAGUUCAAGCUCUGCACGCCCAUCUCCUCCAGAACAGUACAACCCCCGAGGCGCCGACGGCUGCGGCCGCUCCGGCUCCGACAACCGGCAUCAUGGGGGUUGCAGGAUGGUUGGGCCCCCCAGAGAAGUUUACGGGGGAACAGGGACUGUGUAAAGCCUUUCUCAUUGACUGUUUCAUCCAUUUCAAACAAACUCCUCAUGCUUUCCCCACGGAAAGGUCCAAGACUGCAUUCAUGAUGACCCACCUGACCGGGAGAGCCAAGGCAUGGGCCUCGGCGGAGUGGGCUUGUGACUCUCCACUCUGCUUCUCCUCCACAGACUUUAUAUCCGCCUUGCAGAGGGUCUUUGACCCAGUGUCAAUGGACCGCAAAAAGGCUCAGGAGCUGAGUGGGUUGAGGCAAGGUGGAGGCUCUGUUUGUGACUGUGUGUCAUCCGGUUUCGCAUCCUGGCUGCGGAGAGCGGGUGGAACUCCACAGCAUUACAUGAUGUGUUCCUGAAGGGGCUAGCGGCCCCAUUUCAGGUCCUCCUCCUUCCUUUGGAUCUACCUGCAGAUUGUUCUCUGCCAAAACCCCGCGGGUCUUCUGCCACGGACGAGGAAGACCCCAUGCAGCUGGGAAGGGCCCAGCUUGAGCAAAGGCGACAAGAAGGCCGUUGCUUCUAUUGCGGGGACAGUGGUCCCCGCAUCGUGGCCUGCCCAGCCAAGAGGCCCAUAGGGGCCAGGCAGUCCGCUGCCAUCUUCGGGAGGUUUUUAGCAAGACCAAGGCCAUGUCCCUACCCCCACAUCGAGCAUACGACUGCUCCAUAGAGCUGUUACCAGGCUCCAGUAUUCCCAAGGGGCGCCUAUACUCCGUUUCGGAGAAGGAGGCCAUGCAGGAAUACACUCACACCUCUCUGGACGCAGGGUUGAUCCGCCCCUCGUCGUCUCCAGCAGGCCUCGGCUUUUUCUUCAUGGGGAAGAAGGACGGGUCACUGAGACCAUGCAUAGACUACAGCCCCCUUAACGACAUGAACCGUAAAGAACCGUUACCUCUACCUCUCAUGUCCUGGGUGUUUGAUCAGCGCAGGCCAAGGUUUUCACUAAGCUAGACCUCCGUAAUGCCUAUCAUUUGAUCAGAAAAAAGGAGGGUGAUGAGUGGAAGACGAGGUUCAAUAACCCAAGUGAACAUUACGAGUAUCUGGUCAUGCCUUUUGGGCUGACAAACGCGCCAGCAGUUUUCCAGGCCAUGAUUAAUGAUGUCCUAAGGGAUUUUUUUAGACCACUUUGUGUACGUGUAUUUGAAUGAUAUCCUCAUCUACUCCCCUGACCUCGACACACAUAGAGGUCACGUGUCUAAAGUGCUUCAGAGACUGUUGAACAAGCUCUACGUUGAGGCCGAAAAGAGUGAGUUUCACGCCGAAACCAUCUCCUUCCUGGGCUUCAUAGUAGCCCCUGGAAGGGUUGCAGGUGGAUCCGGCAACAAUUAGCGGUGGCCCACACCUGAUAGCCGUAAAAGGGUUCAGCAAUUCCUCGGUUUUGCUAACUUUUACAGACUGUUCAUCAAAGGUUUAAGCGCAAUAGCUGCUCCUCUACAUACUCUUACCUCCACAAAGGUGCUGUUCCGGUAGACUCCGGCGGUGGAGACAGCCUUCCAGACCUUCAAGCGUUGUUUCACCUCGGCCCCCAUCCUCAUCAUGCCAGAUUCCCAGCGACAGUUCGUGGUCGAGGUAGACGCCUCCAACGAAGGGGUCGGGGCGGUCCUCUCCCAGCGGUCUGAGCAGGAUAGCAAGAUGCACCCCUGCGCCGCCUUAUCCCGGCGGCUGUCCAAGGCUGAACGGAACUAUGACGUUGGCCGGGGUCCCGCAACGUCAAACCUGACGCCCUAUCCCGCCUCUCUGACCCCGAGCCUGUUGCCAAAGAGCCCGAAACUAUCCUUCCACUAACCUGUGUGGUUGGAGCUGUGACUUGGCAGAUAGAAGAUGAGGUAAAGCAGGCUAACGGUGAGGUUCUCAGGAGGUUGUCCCGGUUGCGUUGCGCCCGCAGGUGAUCCACUGGGCCCACACCUCACUGCUUUCCUGCCAUCCGGAGAUUCUGGUGGCCAGCCAUGAAGCGGGAGGUCCGGGAGUACGUUGAGGCAUGUUCGGUCUGCCCUCAAAAUCAGACGACCUCCAGGCCACGCAUGGGCCCUCUACAGCCUCUACCUAUUCCCUCCAGAUCGUGGUCAGACAUCUCCAUGGACUUCGUCACGGGGCUCCCGGUCUCCGAAGGUAACACCACGGUUCUCACAGUUGUGGACAGGUUUUCCAAAAUGGCUAUAUUUGUUCCCCUGCCAAAACUACAUUCAGCCAAGGAAACGGCAGAGGUUAUGAUGAACCAGGUUUUUAGGAUCCACGGCUUUCCUAAGGACAUAGCUUCUGACCGGGGACCCC
ensembl:lncRNA